UUAAAUUCCUUGAAGAGGAAAAGUACUAUAGUAGAUGUUUUAAGCGAGUAGAGGAUGGUGUAAGCUCUAUAAACUAUAUUAUAAGAAAAGAGCCUUUGAGAAGCGGCCCUAAAUGUUUUAAUUUUAAAGCAGAAUAAGGCUAGCCGUUAAUUACGUUAAAAUUAUUAAGUGGAUGAUUAUUAAUAAUAUCAUCAAUUGGAGUGGUACCGCGGAUAUAUCCGUCUCUUUU
rnacentral:ncRNA from 1 species